GGGUAGUGCAAUUCAUUGAUCAGGGUUGUGCUACAAGUACCUGUCUGUAGCGCCAUGGCUAAGAUGCCAUCAUAGCAAAAUUACCAACAGGGCACCUGCCUCUCAUAUGCUCCUUGCUGUAGCCAAAACUCUACAAAAUUAUUCAAGUUUAAAAAGAGUAUGUCUGGCAAAAAGAAGAAUAGCAUUUGCAUCAGAAGAGUAUACUUUAACUUUAUAUAUCAAGCCCUGAAGCAGUUUUUGUACACUGACCCAAUGCUGCGGUGGUGUCGGGUUGUUGGCCAACCUUGCAUUUUCUGCAGUUGUCAGUAGAUUGGCCAGCGGAGAAGAGAAAGGGCGACAGUCACCAUGAGCCUGGGGCCGAGCCUGAUCGUGCCGGUGGUGUUGUGGGGCCGGCACCCGCCCACCCACCGGAUCUCGUGCGUCUACCUGACGCCCGACCAGAGGACGCUCGUCACAGGAUG